rnacentral:rRNA from 1 species
CGGUUAACGGCAGUGCCUAACACAUGCAAGUCGAACGGUAACAGUGGAGCCUUGCUCCUAUUGUGACGAUGCGUGCGUGACGUGGUGAGUAAUGUCUGGGAAACUGCCUGAUGGAGGGGGAUAACUACUGGAAACGGUAGCUAAUACCUGCAUAACGUCUUCGUGACCAAAGUGGGUGGACCUUCGGGCCUCAUGCCAUCAGAUGUGCCCAGAUGGGAUUAGCUAGUAGUGUGGGGUAACGUGCUCACCUAGUGCGACGAUCCCUAGCUGGUCUGAGAGGAUGACCAGCCACACUGGAACUGAGACACGGUCCAGACUCCUGCGGGAGGCAGCAGUGGGGAAUAUUGCACAAUGGGCGCAAGCCUGAUGCAGCCAUGCCGCGUGUAUGAAGAAGGCCUUCGGGUUGUAAAGUACUAUUCAGCGAGGAGGAACGUGCACUUAAGGUUAAUAACCUUAGUGAUUGACGUUACUCGCAGAAGAAGCACCUGGCUAACUCCGUGCCAGCAGCCGCGGUAAUACCAGCGAGAGAGUUGCAAAGCCGUUUACACUCCGCGAAAUUACCUUGGGCGCUAAAG